rnacentral:lncRNA from 1 species
GGUAUUUUUGUAUUAGGUCUACUAAAGUAAAAAAGUCAUCCUUGUCAAGCUGGUUUCCCCUUCCCCAACCAGAGAACACAACAGCUCUUCCAGUCAGCCCAGCCAUUUUACUGAAAUAUUUCUUUCUACUAGCAACAGCAGCAAUAAUACAUGAAUUGUCUUUGGGCUCACAUGUCAUCUAGGAGAGGAGUGCUCACACACUACAAGGUGAGCAGCAGCCUGUUUUCUCACUUCACCUUCAAGUGCCUCUUUACUGUAUGCAAGCACCUGUAGAGGGUAAUGUCAUCUGAAAGUGAUUGCCUGAAUAACCAGCACUGAGGAGUCAGAGUCAUCAUCCGUGGGUUUUUCCACUGGAGCACAGAGAACUUCCUGGUGGGUACAUCCUUUUCCUGCUCCGAGAACACUACCAGGCUGAGGAUGGCGAGUAAAGGCCAAAUGUGUCCUUGCUGUUUGAGAAAGCUUCCAAAAUAUGCAUAAUGAUUUCAACAAAAAUACCAUUGAUGUUACUGCUGAAUAAGGACUUCUGGACGGGACUGUAGAAUAAACUCGGAAUAGCCUUCCAGCGUGAAGCCUUCCAGCCUUCCACCGUUCCACCUUGCACUUUGCAUCCUUGAUGUUGACAAUUUUUCCUGAUUCUCCAGUACCUAAAAUUAUUCAAGAGGAUGAGGGAUGGAUGGAUGACUGUAUGCUGUAGCAGUGUGCAAACCUCAGAAAGCACUUUUCUUCCUGGAAGAGUGUAUUACAGCUUUUACCCAUGGCAAGUGAUCAACCAGGAAAUAAAGUUCUACCUUUUGAGCGCAGUAGCACAGCCUGAGAGGGCAGGACCUAGACUAUAUG